GGUUAAGCGACUAAGCGUACACGGUGGAUGCCCUGGCAGUCAGAGGCGAUGAAGGACGUGCUAAUCUGCGAUAAGCGUCGGUAAGGUGAUAUGAACCGUUAUAACCGGCGAUUUCCGAAUGGGGAAACCCAGUGUGUUUCGACACACUAUCAUUAACUGAAUCCAUAGGUUAAUGAGGCGAACCGGGGGAACUGAAACAUCUAAGUACCCCGAGGAAAAGAAAUCAACCGAGAUUCCCCCAGUAGCGGCGAGCGAACGGGGAGCAGCCCAGAGCCUGAAUCAGUGUGUGUGUUAGUGGAAGCGUCUGGAAAGGCGCGCGAUACAGGGUGACAGCCCCGUACACAAAAAUGCACAUGCUGUGAGCUCGAUGAGUAGGGCGGGACACGUGGUAUCCUGUCUGAAUAUGGGGGGACCAUCCUCCAAGGCUAAAUACUCCUGACUGACCGAUAGUGAACCAGUACCGUGAGGGAAAGGCGAAAAGAACCCCGGCGAGGGGAGUGAAAAAGAACCUGAAACCGUGUACGUACAAGCAGUGGGAGCACGCUUAGGCGUGUGACUGCGUACCUUUUGUAUAAUGGGUCAGCGACUUAUAUUCUGUAGCAAGGUUAACCGAAUAGGGGAGCCGAAGGGAAACCGAGUCUUAACUGGGCGUUAAGUUGCAGGGUAUAGACCCGAAACCCGGUGAUCUAGCCAUGGGCAGGUUGAAGGUUGGGUAACACUAACUGGAGGACCGAACCGACUAAUGUUGAAAAAUUAGCGGAUGACUUGUGGCUGGGGGUGAAAGGCCAAUCAAACCGGGAGAUAGCUGGUUCUCCCCGAAAGCUAUUUAGGUAGCGCCUCGUGAAUUCAUCUCCGGGGGUAGAGCACUGUUUCGGCAAGGGGGUCAUCCCGACUUACCAACCCGAUGCAAACUGCGAAUACCGGAGAAUGUUAUCACGGGAGACACACGGCGGGUGCUAACGUCCGUCGUGAAGAGGGAAACAACCCAGACCGCCAGCUAAGGUCCCAAAGUCAUGGUUAAGUGGGAAACGAUGUGGGAAGGCCCAGACAGCCAGGAUGUUGGCUUAGAAGCAGCCAUCAUUUAAAGAAAGCGUAAUAGCUCACUGGUCGAGUCGGCCUGCGCGGAAGAUGUAACGGGGCUAAACCAUGCACCGAAGCUGCGGCAGCGACGCUUAUGCGUUGUUGGGUAGGGGAGCGUUCUGUAAGCCUGCGAAGGUGUGCUGUGAGGCAUGCUGGAGGUAUCAGAAGUGCGAAUGCUGACAUAAGUAACGAUAAAGCGGGUGAAAAGCCCGCUCGCCGGAAGACCAAGGGUUCCUGUCCAACGUUAAUCGGGGCAGGGUGAGUCGACCCCUAAGGCGAGGCCGAAAGGCGUAGUCGAUGGGAAACAGGUUAAUAUUCCUGUACUUGGUGUUACUGCGAAGGGGGGACGGAGAAGGCUAUGUUGGCCGGGCGACGGUUGUCCCGGUUUAAGCGUGUAGGCUGGUUUUCCAGGCAAAUCCGGAAAAUCAAGGCUGAGGCGUGAUGACGAGGCACUACGGUGCUGAAGCAACAAAUGCCCUGCUUCCAGGAAAAGCCUCUAAGCAUCAGGUAACAUCAAAUCGUACCCCAAACCGACACAGGUGGUCAGGUAGAGAAUACCAAGGCGCUUGAGAGAACUCGGGUGAAGGAACUAGGCAAAAUGGUGCCGUAACUUCGGGAGAAGGCACGCUGAUAUGUAGGUGAGGUCCCUCGCGGAUGGAGCUGAAAUCAGUCGAAGAUACCAGCUGGCUGCAACUGUUUAUUAAAAACACAGCACUGUGCAAACACGAAAGUGGACGUAUACGGUGUGACGCCUGCCCGGUGCCGGAAGGUUAAUUGAUGGGGU
rnacentral:rRNA from 1 species